UUCCAGAAAUGUCUGGCGGCCUCCCUCCCCCUCCGCAAGGGGGCGGGUUGGAGGGUGUACAGUGUAUGGUAAUAUGGCGACAGUGUUGCUUGUGCGCUCGUCACUCCUGCGCCCCCUCAGUGACAGACCCCCACUUUGUUUGGGAUUCAAAUGGAAACGUACACAGAGAAGGUGGGCCCAGUGCCCGGGCAUGAAUCAUGAGGGUCUAGGGCGUGGACUCCAAGCCAUCUUGUGGUUAUGCCAUUCCUCUGUGCCAGCGUAAUCGCGGAGGUGAAUUCCGAGAUGGAUGAACGACCUGGUCAGCAGCUCAGGAGUGACUGGUCUGAGCUGAGUCCUGAAGGGGCUGGCACUGGCCACAUUCACCUGUAUUCUCCGCAUCUGGAACAACAGCUGGAGUGCCAUUGGUGCUCAGGAGAUCCCACACCCAGGAAAGGAGAGAUGAUGCAGUAGCUCUGGCCGCUGCCGGGCCUUUGAGCCCCUGGAGCCCUCGCUGCAGGUCCCCUGGGCUGCUGGGCUCGGAGCCGUGUGAGAGCAUCUCUCCCCCAGGGGACCCCAGUUAAGCGGUGCUGGGGAGGAGGGAGGCGGGGCGGAGAGGCCACAG
rnacentral:lncRNA from 1 species